GAUAGUUUUUUCCUCCGCAUGGAGGAAAAAGGAAAGGCGGCUUCGGCUGCCACUUACAGAUGGGCCCGCGGCGCAUUAGCUAGUUGGCGGGGUAACGGCCCACCAAGGCAACGAUGCGUAGCCGACCUGAGAGGGUGAUCGGCCACAUUGGGACUGAGACACGGCCCAAACUCCUACGGGAGGCAGCAGUAGGGAAUCUUCCGCAAUGGACGAAAGUCUGACGGAGCAACGCCGCGUGAGUGAAGAAGGCCUUCGGGUCGUAAAACUCUGUUGCCGGGGAAGAACAAGUGCCGUUCGAACAGGGCGGCGCCUUGACGGUACCCGGCCAGAAAGCCACGGCUAACUACGUGCCAGCAGCCGCGGUAAUACGUAGGUGGCAAGCGUUGUCCGGAAUUAUUGGGCGUAAAGCGCGCGCAGGCGGCUUCUUAAGUCUGAUGUGAAAUCUUGCGGCUCAACCGCAAGCGGUCAUUGGAAACUGGGAGGCUUGAGUGCAGAAGAGGAGAGUGGAAUUCCACGUGUAGCGGUGAAAUGCGUAGAGAUGUGGAGGAACACCAGUGGCGAAGGCGGCUCUCUGGUCUGUAACUGACGCUGAGGCGCGAAAGCGUGGGGAGCAAACAGGAUUAGAUACCCUGGUAGUCCACGCCGUAAACGAUGAGUGCUAAGUGUUAGAGGGUUUCC
rnacentral:rRNA from 1 species